rnacentral:lncRNA from 1 species
GGGAUGUCUGAGCGUGAGGGGCUGACUUCCGAGCGCCUCCGCCAAGCCCGGCUGUACGCUUCUCCUGACCUACCCUGGAAUUGUGCCCCUUGCCAUCCGCCCACCUCGUCUCUGCGGAAGGAGGCAGCGCGACCUGCGCAGCACAGCAAGACAAAACUAGGCAUCACAACAAAGCUGCAGACCAGCAAACGAAGCUAAGUGAGGGCAAUUUGACCAAUGUCUUCUGUGUCAGUUCCCCAGCAGUCAAAGCAUGUUAUCAGGUCUCCAAGACCUACAGCUUGCGAAGACUGGAAAGGAAGACAAAUAAGGUUGGUUCAAUGUCCUCAGGGGGCAGAGAAGGGUGAAGAAAGAGGACAAGAUUCAGACCGGACACACAUACCAGAAAAAAGCGUUUGCCUUCAAAAAGUCUUACUCCACCUCCCAGUAAAAAUGUAAUGCCAACAAAGGAAAAAGAUGUUGCAAGUCAUGCAGAGCAUCUACCACAGAACAAUUCACAGAAGCCAAUGAAUCAGUCAUUUUCAGUGCAGCAAGCUAUGCAUGGCCCCAAGGAAAAGCGUUCAGACCAACUGGCUUCAAGAGACUGAUCAUCUGUGAGAGAAGUCAGCUCACGAUUGCACAUAAUCAGGAAGGUAAAGUUCCCAGGUUACCACACCUGCUCUGAUCUGUCCUCUAAAAUCCCCCCCCCCCAAAGAGACAUCCUCUGUAUAACAUGAGAACUACAGCACUACAUCUACUUGUUUUUUUUUCUUCCCCUUUUAGAAAAGGGCAAAUUAAUUGGAAAGUUCAAAAAAUUAGAAAUGUGUGUUGUGCUAUUGUGGAAGUUUAAGAAUGAGCACUUUACUUUGUGAUGAUCAAUUUCUUGAUAUAAACAGCUGCCACUUAAAAUGAAAGAAUGAAAUAAUGAAAAUAAAUUUAUGUCAAACCUUGACA